UGCUUGGGAACAUGCCUUGAGGUGGGGGACAACAGUUGGAAACGACUGCUAAUACCGCAUAAUGUCUACGGACCAAAGGGGGCUUCGGACUCUUCGCCUUUAGGAAUAGGCCCAAGUGGGAUUAGCUAGUUGGUUGAGGUAAUGGCUCACCAAGGCAACGAUCCCUAGCUGGUUUGAGAGGAUGAUCAGCCACACUGGAACUGAGACACGGGUUCCAGACUCCUACGGGAGGCAGCAGUGGGGAAUAUUGCACAAUGGGACGAAAGCCUGAUGCAGCCAUGCCGCGUGUGUGAAGAAGGC
rnacentral:rRNA from 1 species